GCUCAGGAUGAACGCUAGCUACAGGCUUAACACAUGCAAGUCGAGGGGUAGCAGGGUAGCAAUACCGCUGACGACCGGCGCACGGGUGAGUAACACGUAUCCAACCUUCCCAUAACUCGGGGAUAGCCUUUCGAAAGAAAGAUUAAUACCCGAUAGUACUUUAUUAAGGCAUCUUAUUAAAGUUAAAGAUUUAUUGGUUAUGGAUGGGGAUGCGUUCCAUUAGAUAGUUGGUGAGGUAACGGCUCACCAAGUCUUCGAUGGAUAGGGGUUCUGAGAGGAAGGUCCCCCACAUUGGUACUGAGACACGGACCAAACUCCUACGGGAGGCAGCAGUGAGGAAUAUUGGUCAAUGGGCGAGAGCCUGAACCA
rnacentral:rRNA from 1 species